rnacentral:siRNA from 1 species
UUCUCUCUCUUUUAGGGUUGCA